UACAUUUCGAUUCGUCUUCUGUACUCUGACAUGAUCUCUGAAUGCAGGAACGGGCAGCUAGAGGUGUGCAGUGCUGGUUCCAUGGUUAACAUUUCAAGUAAUUUCAGGGGCGCGGGUGGCGGAAAGAAAAGUCUGCAGAACAUCGGUUUACCUUACGGUUUCCCACCAACCACCAAAAGCAUGGCAAGUCACGGGAAGCCCGGGCGUUCCUUCGAAACUGCAUGGGAGAACAGAUACAGACGUCUAAAAGUAAACUACCGCUCCCCGGAAAACGUUAAAAGUCCGACUGGUACCCAAGGUGAAGGACCAGAUUAUUGUACAAAUUUCACCGGGUGCUACUAACAAAGGAGAUCACACUGAGCAAAAGUUGAUUCGACUACCCCGAGUGAAACGAGUCUUGGUAACGAUUGGUCGUUAGGAGUUUUCGUAACGCCUAGGUCCUAGAGACCUUCGCUUGGCUUACGUCGAGUGGCGUAAAGCAUAGAUAUCUAUAAAUUUAAAUAGAAUCUCCGGAAACGAAUAUAACUCCGGAUUCCGAAUUAGCACCCUGGAACCCAGCCCGAGAGUGCGAUUUAUCUGGCGAUAAAUGAAAAUCGUUUUGCAAACGUAAUUUCGUGUCGAAAUGUCAGUCAAGUGGUCGGUGAACCGGUCGGCGUUAUGACUCGUUUCGCAGCUUUGUCGAGACUUCGUACAGGAGUUGCAUGUGUGAGCAUAGAGCACAUCUAUGGAUCGAAAGGUACGAAGCGAGGUGUAUAAGGUGAUUGGAUUCUCACAUGGUGUCUCCCUGGUCGAGAAAGUCGUGGCGACUUUUCAACGUACGUCUACGCAUGCUGUCCAUAA
rnacentral:misc_RNA from 1 species